rfam:Metarhizium majus ARSEF 297 Scaffold_25, whole genome shotgun sequence.
AAUGUGUACAUGAUGAUCACCAAGCAAUGCAUAGUUCAUCUGAAACUACUGAUGAGACCUAUACCUUCACAAAGUCUUUCGCUCCCAUCUGAUUACACCAU